UAGGGAAUAUUGGACAAUGGGUGCAAGCCUGAUCCAGCCAUGCCGCGUGCAGGAAGAAGGCCUUCUGGGUUGUAAACUGCUUUUUGCCAGGGGAUAAAAUUUCUUUGCGAAGAAAAUUGAAGGUACCUGGUGAAUAAGCCACGGCUAACUACGUGCCAGCAGCCGCGGUAAUACGUAGGUGGCAAGCGUUGUCCGGAUUUAUUGGGUUUAAAGGGUGCGUAGGCGGUUCCAUAAGUCAGUGGUGAAAUACAAUAGCUUAACUAUUGAGGUGCCAUUGAUACUGCGGAACUUGAGUACAGACGAGGUAGGCGGAAUUGACGGUGUAGCGGUGAAAUGCUUAGAUAUCGUCAAGAACACCGAUAGCGAAGGCAGCUUACUAGACUGUAACUGACGCUGAGGCACGAAAGUGUGGGGAUCAAACAGGAUUAGAUACCCCAGUAGUCCCUGAGCGGGCUGGCAAGGCGCAU
rnacentral:rRNA from 1 species